rfam:Fusarium poae strain 2516 chromosome FPOA_2 Chr2, whole genome shotgun sequence.
UGUCGAUGAUGAGAAACCUUUUCAUUCAGUUCUGCUACUGAACCAAUGUGAUGACUCCAUUAUACCAAACCAAGAUCUCUGAUAU